rnacentral:rRNA from 1 species
UCAUCCCUACGGGAGGCAGCAGUGGGGAAUAUUGGACAAUGGGGGAAACUCUGAUCCAGCGACGCCGCGUGAGUGAAGAAGUGUUUCGGUAUGUAAAGCUCUAUCAGCAGGGAAGAAAAUGACGGUACCUGACUAAGAAGCCCCGGCUAACUACGUGCCAGCAGCCGCGGUAAUACGUAGGGGGCAAGCGUUAUCCGGAUUUACUGAGUGUAAAGGGAGCGUAGACAGCAGGGCAAGUCUGGAGUGAAAGGCAGGGGCCCAGCCCCUGGACUGCUCUGGAAACUGUCCGGCUGGAGUGCAGAAGG